rnacentral:misc_RNA from 1 species
UUUCCGUAGGUGAACCUGCGGAAGGAUCAUUAUUGUAUAACCGAGGUGCGAGGGCUGUCGCUGACCCGAAAGGUCGUGCACGCCCGAGUGCCCUCACACACAUCCAUCUCACCCCUAUGUGCACCACCGCGUGAGUCCCCCUUUGGCUUGUUCGGAGGGGGGCUUACGUUUUCACACAAACUUUGAAUGCAGUGUAGAAUGUAUUUUUUGUUUUUGCGAUCACGCAAUCAAUACAACUUUCAACAACGGAUCUCUUGGCUCUC